CCCCUAGAUGUUCUGGGCCGCACGCGCUACACUGAACAGUUCAACAAGUCUUAACCUUGGCCGAUAGGUCUGGGUAAUCUUUGAACGCUGUUCGUGAUUGGGAUAGACCUUUGCAAUUAUGGGUCUUCAACGAGGAAUUCCUAGUAAACGCAAGUCAUCAGCUUGCAUUGAUUACGUCCCUGCCCUUUGUACACACCGCCCGUCGCACCUACCGAUUGAAUGGUCCGGUGAAAUCUCGGGACGGCGGCUUGGUCGCUUGCGUCCGACUGCUGAAACUUGAUUAAACCAUAUCAUUUAGAGGAAGGUGAANUCGUAACA
rnacentral:rRNA from 1 species